rnacentral:rRNA from 1 species
CCUACGGGUGGCAGCAGUGGGGAAUAUUGGACAAUGGGCGAAAGCCUGAUCCAGCCAUGCCGCGUGUGUGAAGAAGGCCUUCGGGUUGUAAAGCACUUUCAGUGGGGAAGAAAGCCUUGGGGCUAAUACCCUCGAGGAAGUACAUCACCCACAGAAGAAGCACCGGCUAACUCCGUGCCAGCAGCCGCGGUAAUACGGAGGGUGCGAGCGUUAAUCGGAAUUACUGGGCGUAAAGCGCGCGUAGGCGGUCUGAUAAGCCGGUUGUGAAAGCCCCGGGCUCAACCUGGGAACGGCAUCCGGAACUGUCAGGCUAGAGUGCAGGAGAGGAAGGUAGAAUUCCCGGUGUAGCGGUGAAAUGCGUAGAGAUCGGGAGGAAUACCAGUGGCGAAGGCGGCCUUCUGGACUGACACUGACGCUGAGGUGCGAAAGCGUGGGUAGCAAACAGGAUUAGAUACCCCAGUAGUC